rnacentral:rRNA from 1 species
GAUGAACGCUGGCGGCGUGCCUAAUACAUGCAAGUCGAGCGAACGGACGAGAAGCUUGCUUCUCUGAUGUUAGCGGCGGACGGGUGAGUAACACGUGGAUAACCUACCUAUAAGACUGGGAUAACUUCGGGAAACCGGAGCUAAUACUGGAUAAUAUUUUGAACCGCAUGGUUCAAAAGUGAAAGACGGUCUUGCUUUCACUUAUAGAUGGAUCCGCGCUGCAUUAGCUAGUUGGUAAGGUAACGGCUUACCAAGGCAACGAUGCAUAGCCGACCUGAGAGGGGGAUCGGCCACACUGGAACUGACACACGGUCCAGACUCCUACGGGAGGCAGCAGUAGGGAAUCUUCCGCAAUGGGCGAAAGCCUGACGGAGCAACGCCGCGUGAGUGAUGAAGGUCUUCGGAUCGUAAAACUCUGUUAUUAGGGAAGAACAUAUGUGUAAGUAACUGUGCACAUCUUGACGGUACCUAAUCAGAAAGCCACGGCUAACUACGUG